AUUGUACAUAUACACACCCCUGUUUAUAAUACUGUGAUUUGCUUGAUAGUGGUCUAAAAAAACCUUAUGAUAGAAUGGCAGACGGCAUCCGACACUCAACAGCAUCAGGAUACCUAGAACCAAUACCGACCAAUACCGGAGAUACAGUUACUAGAAGUCCACGAGCCCAACAGAAACUUCCUCCCAUAAAUUCACAGCCACCAUUACCCCAAGCAUCCGGCGUAUACAAUACUUUGAACUCGGGGGAUUAUCCACACAACUAUACUGGACUGUCCGGAAACCUCCAGUACGACGAGUUGUAUGGGGUUCAAACCGGAAGUGAACAGUAUGAAAGAGUACCCGGAUACGGGUAUGCAAUCCCAGGCCAACAGGUUACAAUGGGUUAAGCGGCCUGGACAAUUUCCAGGAGAACAAGGUCCUCAGUAACCUGAUAGUGUGUUGUUCCAUUACCAGCCUGAUACUCAACUGUCCAAUCGGCCUGUUCUCUGUCUGUUACUCCUACAUGGCGAAGACAGAGCGGUUUUAUCCAAUGAGAAGGUUCUAUAAAUUCAUGUCUCUGGUGGUCAGCACAGUGGCCAUCCUUGGUUUUGUUAUCGCAAUGGCUGUAACAAUCUCCAUAAUAUCAAGUCUCAAUCGUGCUCGAUGAUUUCCUUUAAUCCUGUUGUUUAUUUUUGUGCCACAUGAUUCAAUUGAGAUACGAUGCAGUGCAUUUUAAAAAAACUUCAUUAAGAUGAGAUUGCUGUAAUGCAAUCAUGAAGAUAUGAUUCUCUGUGCCAUAAUUUAAAUGAUAUUUGAUUUUUUUGAGUACUUGUUUUGUAUGUAUGGAUGCAUAACGAUAUUCAUGUAUGGAUAUUUUUUGGUAAUGAACAUUGAUUACGACCUUUCGUUCUCUGUUGCUUCUAGGCGAAUCGUAUUAUAGCCUGUCCCAAGAUAUUUAUGCAGCAUAUUUGGAAGAAUUUCGAUAAAAAAAACCAACCACAUACCUGUGAAAGAAAUGCAAUUGAAAUAGAUGAAAAAUAAAAUAUCCAAGAUAGUUUC
rnacentral:misc_RNA from 1 species